CGACGACCGGCGGAUGGGUGCGUAACGCGUAUGCAACUUGCCUCACAGCGGAGAAUAACCCGGAGAAAUCCGGACUAAUGCUCCAUACACUCUUGGGGACCCAUGUCCCUGAGAGGAAAGAUUUAUCGCUGUGAGAUAGGCAUGCGUCCUAUUAGGUAGUUGGUGAGGUAACGGCUCACCAAGCCGACGAUAGGUAGGGGUGCUGAGAGGCAGAUCCCCCACAUUGGGACUGAGACACGGCCCAAACUCC
rnacentral:rRNA from 1 species